rnacentral:rRNA from 1 species
AGCGAACGCUGGCGGCAGGCCUAACACAUGCAAGUCGAGCGCCGUAGCAAUACGGAGCGGCAGACGGGAGAGUAACACGUGGGAACGUGCCUUUCAGUUCGGAACAACCCAGGGAAACUUGGGCUAAUACCGGAUACGCCCUUACGGGGAAAGAUUUAUCGCUGAAAGAGCGGCCCGCGUCCGAUUAGCUAGUUGGUGAGGUAAUGGCUCACCAAGGCGACGAUCGGUAGCUGGUCUGAGAGGAUGACCAGCCUCACUGGGACUGAGACA